rnacentral:rRNA from 1 species
CCUACGGGAGACAGCAGUGGGGGAUAUUGCACAAUGGGGGAAACCCUGAUGCAGCGACGCCGCGUGGGUGAAGAAGUAUUUCGGUAUGUAAGGCCCUAUCAGCAGGGAAGAAAGAAGACGGUACCUGACUAAGAAGCCCCGGCUAACUACGUGCCAGCAGCCGCGGUAAUACGUAGGGGGCGAGCGUUAUCCGGAUUCACUGGGUGUAAAGGGAGCGUAGACGGCCGUGCAAGCCAGGAGUGAAAGCCCGGGGCCCAACCCCGGGACUGCUCUUGGAACUGUGCGGCUGGAGUGCGGGAGGGGCAGGCGGAAUUCCUGGUGUAGCGGUGAAAUGCGUAGAUAUCAGGAGGAACACCGGCGGCGAAGGCGGCCUGCUGGACCGCGACUGACGUUGAGGCUCGAAAGCGUGGGGAGCGAACAGGAUUAGAUACCCCAGUAGUC